AACUCUAAACAAGAGACCAAAUGACACAGAAAUUAACAACUAUAGGUCACCAAACAGCCUUCAACAAUGAGCAAAGCCAAUACCGCAUAGUCAGCUAUAAAAGGCCCCGAAAUGACAAAUGUAAAACAAUUCAAUCGACAAAACUAACAGCCGAAUUAAGAUACAAAUAAAUGAACGAAAAACAAAUAAAUAACACAGCAACAAACGACAACCACUGAAUUACAGGCUCCUGACUUGUACAUGCCCAACUGGUAGGUGUCAUCUGACCUUGGAGGCCAUACUUUGACCUACCAUUUAACUUGUAGGGGGAC
rnacentral:lncRNA from 1 species